GGGGGUGUAGCUCAGUAGUAGAGCACAUGCUUUGCAUGUAUGAGGUCCCGGGUUCAAUCCCUGGCACUUCCA